UACGGGGGGAGCAAGCGUUGUUCAGAUUUACUGGGCGUAAAGGGCGCGUAGGCGGUAGCACAAGUCAGUUGUGAAAUCUCCGGGCUUAACUCGGAAAGGUCAACUGAUACUGUGCGACUAGAGUGCAGAAGGGGCAACUGGAAUUCUCGGUGUAGCGGUGAAAUGCGUAGAUAUCGAGAGGAACACCUGCGGCGAAGGCGGGUUGCUGGGCUGACACUGACGCUGAGGCGCGAAAGCCAGGGGAGCGAACGGG
rnacentral:rRNA from 1 species